rnacentral:misc_RNA from 1 species
AACCUUAUGGACCUGCGGGCGUAUACCUGCGGAAGGAUCAUUAAUGAAUAAACUUGGUCAAGCUGUUGCUGGUUCUUCGGGACAUGUGCACGCUUGCCACCAAUUUUAACCACCUGUGCACCUUUUGUAGACUGGAAACGUUUCUCGAGGCAACUCGGAUUGAGAAUUGCUGCGCGCAAGCCGGCUGUUCUUGUGUUUCUCAGUCUAUGUUUCCAUAUACUCCUAAUGUAUGUAUCUGAA